GACGAACGCUGGCGGCGUGCUUAACACAUGCAAGUCGAACGAAGUGGCGAACGGGUGAGUAAUACGUGAGUAACCUGCCCUCCUUUUUGGGAUAAGCCUUGGAAACGGGGUCUAAUACCGAAUAAAGGGGGAUGGGCUCGCGGCCUAUCAGCUUGGUGGGGGGGUGAGGGCCUACCAAGGGGGUGACGGGUAUCCGGCCGGAGAGGGUGACAGGGCACAUUGGGACUGAGGUAAGGGCCAGAACUCUAAGGGAGGCAGGAGGUGGGGAUAAUGGACAAGGGGCGAAAGGCUGAUGCAGCGACGGCGGGUUGGGGAUGAAGGCUUUCGGGUUGGAAACCUUUUUUGGUAUCGAAAGGGUAGGUGGAGAAGAAGCGCCGGCUAACUACGUGCCAGCAGCCGCGGUAAUUC
rnacentral:rRNA from 1 species